rnacentral:lncRNA from 1 species
CAAGCAAAGAAGAGGUUUGCUUAAUCUUUCGCAGGUUUUAAUUUUCUUCUCCAGUUUUACAUCACGUGAAUCCUGCUGCAUCUUCCCUGAAAGACUUUUUAAACAUUUUUUUUUUCUGUUACUGCUUCUGCCUGCUCAGCCUCCUUCCCCGAUCUCUUAAUUCUCUAUAUCUUCUGUUCUCAACUUAACUCCACCCAUUAAAUCAUCAAAGAAGCUGAUUUGGGCUUUUCUCGGAGUUGAAAGUGAUAACACACCACCACAUGGUCAAGUGAAUCAUAACCUGCUGGGGCUUGAGGUAUGGAAGACGAACAGUGGAGGAAAAGGUAUCUUCCAGCCUGGUGAAAUGCCGUGGAAAUGUGAGGCCAUUUAUUUUUUCUAAAUGCCCCAGCAACAGCUCUCAUUCACUUGCAGAAGCAAGAGCUGUUCUGACUACUCACAGUAUAUGGUGAGAUCUUUAUUUCUUUGCCUUUUUUUUUACUGUGAGUUUCCUUUUUUGUCAUCAUUGACCUUAUAAUGAAUCACUGCACUGUCUGAGUAAUGAGGCUGCAGUAGAUAAGGUCUCCUGAGAAUAUGAAGGAAGAAGUAUGUUCAGCAACUGAUUACUGACUUAUCCACCUGAUUAUAGUGACCAAUCUACUCAUAUAUCUGAUUUCAAAUGCCCAAUACAAUGUUAAUAAUCUUAUUAAAACUUCUUUGCAGUAAAAAUCAAACUUCUUUGGUUGAUGUUUUUUCUUAAAUUUUUAAAUUCUAA